CUUUAUUACAUUUCUAGUGGCGGACGGGUGAGUAACACGUUGGAACCUGCCCCAGAGUGAGGAAUAAGCCACCGAAAGGUGGUCUAAUACUUCAUAAUAUCCAUCUCGUAUGGAUUAAAGCUUUAUGCGCUUUGGGAGGGGCCUGCGUAACAUUAGCUAGUUGGUGAGGUAAAAGCUCACCAAGGCUUCGAUGUUUAACUGGUUUGAGAGGAUGACCAGUCACACUGGGACUGAGAUACGGCCCAGACUCCUACGGGAGGCAGCAGUAAGGAAUCUUCCACAAUGGGGCAACCCUGAUGGAGCAAUACCGCGUGCAGGAUGAAGCGUUUCGGCGUGUAAUCUGCUUUUAUCACCGAAGAUUAUGACUGUAGGUGAAGAAUAAGGACCGGCUAACUACGUG
rnacentral:rRNA from 1 species